rnacentral:rRNA from 1 species
UACCAGCACCCCGAGUGGUCGGGACGAUUAUUGGGCCUAAAGCAUCCGUAGCCGGUCCUGCAAGUCUUCCGUUAAAUCCAGCUGCUCAACAGAUGGGCUGCGGGGGAUACUACAGGGUUAGGAGGCGGGAGAGGCAAGCGGUACUUUAUGGGUAGGGGUAAAAUCCGUUGAUCCAUAGAAGACCACCAGUGGCGAAGGCGGCUUGCCAGAACGCGCUCGACGGUGAGGGAUGAAAGCUGGGGGAGCAAACCGG